GUACAUUAAAACAUUUAAAUCUUUGAAAAGUAGAUUUUGCGCAGUACGUUUUCAGUUUCUUCUCUGUAUGUGCUAGUUUUAUAUCUACACGCAUGCGUACGUUUUCCAUCGUUUUACCGAACACGCUGUUAUUCAUGAGUUUGAAGAAAUCUUUCUCAAACUCACUCUUACAGGAUGCUCUUUUAGAAGUAUUGAAUUGUAUGUAAGAAGAGAGCCAUGGUAGUUGUCUAAAUUCCAAUACUCUGUGAACUUUCACGAGUUUCAUUCCUAAUUCUAAAUACAAUUGUAAAUUUCUAUAAUGACAAAUGUACUUGGUCUUGUUUUCUAAGGUGGAGAGUAAUUUCUCAGUUUUAACGCGUCCACAUAUUUUUGAAUCAGCGUCGGGAUGUAGCUCUAACCACAAUUCCCUACUUAAAGGAGACAAUUCCUCAUUUAACUGUUGCUGACAUUGCAAAUUCUCUUGAAAAAUGUUUGAAUUUUACAAGACCUUCCUUUGCUAAGUUGUCACCUAAGCAUUGCAAACUUUGAGGUAUUGAUAUGAAUCAAUAAAUCUGAAAUUACCUAAACUGAAAGAGAUGUAUUUUUCCAUGUUGUUAGGUAUACAUGUAAUGCCACACUCUUUGAAUAAACCGAUACUUUCACAAAUGAUGUGAGAGUCAAACCCUUUCAGGUUGUGAAAGAUAACGGGUACGAAAGGUGGGUAUUUAAAAUUGAUGUUACAAGCAUUGCGUGCAGCACCGCGGUAAUUCCCAUUUAAAUGACAAUGGUCUCUGACCUUGACCUCAUCUUUAGUAAACAUUUUAUUUCAAAUAUGGCAUUUGUAACUGUUUUGAAAAUCACGUUCAUCAUCGGAUGUCAUGUGUAGAGGCUCUACAUAUUGCAAUACUUCUUUGAUCAUUUUCUCUUCUUCAAUAAUGUUUUCUAAAAAGGUUUUGCUGACAUUUGGACCUCUAUAAACAAUGGGAGGUUUGGUAUACUUAUCGUUGAUACAUAUGACCUGAUAUCCGAAACCACAAGGUUCAAAUUUUGUGUUAGCUGUAGUGCUAGAUUCAGAAGGAUUCGGUAGACAAGUAUCCAUUUGCUGUGAAAACGUUUCGAAAUCAGCAUAUAUCACAAACGGAACUUUCAAUUGUUUUUCGAAAUCUUUAAAUUCUAAACUGUUUUUAUUUUCUUCCGGUAAUUCAACACAUUGUGGAUUGUGUUUGGAACACUGUUCCAUAUGGCUCUCUAAUAUAUCUUUUCGUGUAAAUCCUGUCAGACAAUAUGAACAAAAAUCAUGUUUAUGAUUUCCAGAUUUUGUUCUUGAUAAAAAUGAAUUUAAAUCUUGAAUGAGACAGUAAUGAUUUUUACCAUUUUCUUGCAAACACAGGAGAUUAACAUGAUGUUGCGAUUGUCUGAUCUUUGUCACAUACAGAGGAAAUAUUGUCUUAUCUUCAUAACUAAACACAUUAACCGAAAUAUUGUUUUGCUUUUCAAAUAAUCGGAUUUGAGGUAUUGCGACUGGAUAGGUUAAACCACUCAUAUUGAGUUCUGUUUCAAAUUGUUCAUAAUGAGACACGCGUUCCGGUUGAUGCUCUAUAGGGUGAAGGCUAGCUAAUAUACACCAGAGAAAGCACUUUUGAUCUAUGUUUAAAAUGUUCAAUAUUUUAUGAUGACUGAAAGUGGGUGGAGUUGGUAUAUGUGAGGACCCGCUUAAAGGUGAGUAAUUGAUUGUACUUACUUCUAAUUUGAUAAAAAAAAAUUAAAGUCCAACUAGAUCCUUCUCGAAUGUAUUCCUCAAAGGAAGAAAACAUUUUCUGAAAAGCAGAAUUUAUUUCACUCUCACUUAAGUUCUCACUUGGUAGGUAAACAGAAGUUUUGCUUCUAAAAUGUGGAUAAGAGUGAUGCUUAACACCGUCUUUACCCUCCUUUUCUAGUUCCACUUGAAUACACAGAUACCAUUUGAUACCGUUAACUUCACUAUAUCGAUCAAUUAAGUGUUGAUUGAUUUCACUUUGCACAUUUGUAAAGAAAGCCAACAAAUCCAUGUUAUCACUGUUGUUUGAGUAUAUGUUUCUCACAUUGGCUGAUCCGUUUAGACUGCUUUCAUCUGAAAAGCGAUGUUGGUUUACAGUUUCUCUAGAUUGCUGCUGAACUCUUGUUUGUGAAGGUCCGACUACAGAUGAUUGAACACCGGAAGGUCCAACUACGGGCGAUUGAACGUCAGAAGGUCCGGUUACGGGUGAUUGAACGCCGGAAGGUCCAACUACGGGUGAUUGAACGCCGGAAGGUCCAACUACGGGUGAUUGAACGCCGGAAGGUCCAACUACGGGUGAUUGAACACCGGAAGGUCCAGCUACGGGUGAUUGAACGUCGGAAGGUCCGGUUACGGGUGAUUGAACGCCUGAAGGUCCAACUACGGGUGAUUGAACGCCGGAAGGUCCAACUACGUGUGGUUGAACACCGGAAGGUCCAGCUACGGGUGAUUGAACGCCGGAAGGUCCGGCUAUGGGCGUUUGAACGCCGGAAGGUCCGGCUACGGGCGAUUGAACGCCGGAAGGUCCGACUACGGGGAAAUACAAUAUCAUAUCCUCUCCCGGGAAGAUCCUAGUGCGAAGUGGUGGUACUUCGGAAUGAAAAUCGAUGAUAUUUACUAUUGGAGUCGAAGCUGUGCUCGAGUAGUGUGUACUCGCCGACGUUUCCUGGUAGAAUGACUUCUUUUUUGGAGUCGUUUCCUUUUCAUCUCAGAUUUGGUUUGUUCUUCAACUUGUUGAGCAGGAGAGACCAUGUUGAGGUUUACGUCACGUGAAGGUUCCACCCACAGAAAGCGACUGAACACAUCUAUAACCACGAGAAGGAACCUGAUACUGUCAUUCUCUUUAGAUAGAUUUGAAACAUCUGCUAGAUCAGCUUGAAAUUCAUCAUAAGGACUAGCUACUUCCACCCGUGCUCUCUUGAAGGAUCGCUUGACUGGCUUUUGUAAACUGUAAUCAUCUAGACUGAAUAUAUCUUCUAAUCUUGUAUAGACCUGGUGAAGUGAAUCCUUGAGAUUUCAAGACUUGGUACACUUUCGUUGGACUCAUAAAACUACCACCAUUUUCAAAAUUGUAAUACACACCAUCUAUACGCUGCUUCUCUUCCUCGGUCAACAUUAUAAAAGACAAUGAGAUUCAAAUAUAUAUUUACAGUGUUUUAUUAUUACAUGUUUAAGAUACAAUUUUUUACAAUGGUUUAUGAAACCAGUCUUCUACGUGAUUCAUUGAUUUGAUCAUAUUACACACACACUUUUUCCAUUUUUCUGUUUUGAGCUCAUUUACUCUCCAUUGAGCAUUACACAAUUGGGAUAUGAAAGAGUUUCUAAUACUUCACUGAAUAUCAAAUCGAACAGUCUCUCGAAUGAAGUCUCGGAUCACUUUGAUGCCAUCCACAUAAAUAAAACCAUCCAUCAUAUCA